rnacentral:rRNA from 1 species
UACGGAAGGCAGCAGUGGGGAAUAUUGCACAAUGGGCGCAAGCCUGAUGCAGCCAUGCCGCGUGUAUGAAGAAGGCCUUCGGGUUGUAAAGUACUUUCAGUCGUGAGGAAGGUGUUAAGGUUAAUAACCUUAGCAAUUGACGUUAGCGACAGAAGAAGCACCGGCUAACUCCGUGCCAGCAGCCGCGGUAAUACGGAGGGUGCGAGCGUUAAUCGGAAUUACUGGGCGUAAAGGGCACGCAGGCGGUUAAUUAAGUUGGAUGUGAAAUCCCCGGGCUUAACCUGGGAAUGGCAUUCAAGACUGGUUAGCUAGAGUCUUGUAGAGGGGGUAGAAUUCCGAUGUGUAGCGGUGAAAUGCGUAGAGAUGUGGAGGAAUACCGGUGGCGAAGGCGGCCCCUGGGACAAAGACUGACGCUCAUGUGCGAAAGCGUGGGGAGCGAAACAGGGAUAGAUA